GCCAGAAUAGCUCAGUUGGCAGAGCAACGCACUCGUAACGCGUAGGUCGUGGGUUCGAUUCCCACUUCUGGCU
rnacentral:tRNA from 1 species